GCACUGCUGAGGAGUCCCACAAUAGGACCAAACGGCUUUCCAGUGU
rfam:Schistosoma mansoni strain Puerto Rico chromosome W, complete genome